CGCGUAGGCGGUUUUUUUAAGUCUGAUGUGAAAGCCCACGGCUCAACCGUGGAGGGUCAUUGGAAACUGGAAAACUUGAGUGCAGAAGAGGAAAGUGGAAUUCCAUGUGUAGCGGUGAAAUGCGCAGAGAUAUGGAGGAACACCAGUGGCGAAGGCGACUUUCUGGUCUGUAACUGACGCUGAUGUGCGAAAGCGUGGGGAUCAAACA
rnacentral:rRNA from 1 species